rnacentral:rRNA from 1 species
AUUGAACGCUGGCGGCAGGCCUAACACAUGCAAGUCGAACGGUAACAGGAAGAAGCUUGCUUCUUUGCUGACGAGUGGCGGACGGGUGAGUAAUGUCUGGGAAACUGCCUGAUGGAGGGGGAUAACUACUGGAAACGGUAGCUAAUACCGCAUAACGUCGCAAGACCAAAGAGGGGGACCUUCGGGCCUCUUGCCAUCGGAUGUGCCCAGAUGGGAUUAGCUAGUAGGUGGGGUAACGGCUCACCUAGGCGACGAUCCCUAGCUGGUCUGAGAGGAUGAACGGCCACACCGGAAACGAGACAACGGCCAGACCCCCAAGGGAGGGAGGAGGUGGGAAAUUUGACAAAAGGGGGGAAGCCCGAAGGAGAAAAGCCCGGGGAUAGAAAAAGGGCCUUGGGGUGGAAAACUCCUUUAAGAGGGAAGAAAAGGAGUAAAAUUAAUUCCGUAGCUCUUUAGGGUUCCCCAUAAGAAAACCACGGCUAACCACGUG